GUUGCACUUGCCCUCUGUAUCGCUGUGCCAAGAGCUAGCAAGAACCGUUUCUUUAAUUACGCAUUUUUGCGAUACACUGUAAUUAUCAUCAUACUGAACUGCUUUCAAUCCACACAGGGUGGGGGGCAGCCUGCUCUACAAUACGUUGCUUGUGGCGUGAUUAGUUUUGUUGCUGUUCACUGUUUGUGGAAUGUAGAAGUAAAACAGCCGAUGAGUGAAGUGUGGGAUUGGAACAUGUAUGGAACCAAACUGAAGUUUCAUGGAUGGUUUAUUAACACUGCCAAUGAGGAUGGUGACGGAGGUGAGGAUGAUGC